AACUAUAGAGUUUUAAACUAGAAAAAACAAUAACAUAGACAAGAUGAAUACAAUGUUCAAAAACAAGACCAGAAAGAGAGAACAAAACAUUAAGAAUGAGAACAAAUCAUAAUGAAUACUGUAACCUAAGGAUAGGAUUCCCACCGAAUUUCCUUUACAAAAUUCUGGCAAUAUCAUGAAUUAAUUAUGAAAUAUUUACAAGUUAUCUGUGAUUCGCAAUAAUAAAUGAGUUAAUUUGUUUCUGCUCUAAUUACAAAAAAACACUUGACGAAACACAGAUAAUGUACCAAGCAAAUUUUAAUCUAGAUAAAAAAUUAGGAAAAAGUAUGGUAAUUUGAAAAGGUACAUAUACUAAAUUAGUACAUUUACUUCCUUGUUUGUUCACCAACAAAAUACACAUCUUACAAAUGGAGGGCAGAAUUAGCUUAUGCUGAUCGAACUUGAAUGGAUUAAUAAUGAGGUGGUGUUUUAUUUAAGAGCGUAGCAAGAUCACCCUUUUUUAUUUGUGUGCAGUUUCAAUGAUUCGUAUUCGUAUUUCAAUAUUGGCUCAGCAUAAUUAAAGAAUUGUAGUUUCUAUUCAAUUUUAUAAAUAAAUUGAAUAAAUUACACACUUCAAACAAAACACCAAAUCAUAAAAUUUGUCUUCAAUCCUUGCGUAGUGAGGUUUGACUUAUAUAUGCAUGAUAUAACCGAUUGUUUGGUUCAAAAUAUUGAAUACAUUUUUGUAUUUAGUAGUCAUAAUAACGAUAUUUACACAUAAUAACGAUAAUAAUUUCUUAAUGACAAAAGUACAAUAAUUUAAAAUUUUUAAUCCAUAAGAAUAAUAGUAAAUCAAGGACUCAAACUUUUCGUGUGCAUGGUAAUUCACGCGUGAAGUUAUGCGCAGUCAAAUAGUCCCGAUCCACCUUAAACUGUCUACCAAAAUUGAAAAAUAGAAGACGUGGCUAAAUCACAAAUUAAACAUUUAUCCACCAAAGUGCAGAUUGAAUGGACUUGAUAAAUUAUUGGAAAUCGUUCGUGCUGCAAUGAAGACAACAAAACUCAUUUUGUUAGGUGGCUAUCGAUAUCUUAUACUAAAAGAUUUUGUACUUAUAUUAAAAGAUGGAAUAAUAUUAACAGUACUAAUUUAAUCUAUUAUAAUUAUUAUAGGAUUUGCAUAUUAAAGAAUACGUUGAUAUGAUUGGUCGAGAGGACUUUCGGUAGCUGGUCUUGACGUUGUUUUUUUUUUGCGAUAGAUGACGUUGACCGAACUAACCAAUGUAAACAAGAUGGUUGCGAAAAUUACAGCGACGUUUUUUUAUUUUAUUUUAUUUUCACUGCAAGUUUAUCGUUAAAUAAAAUAAUACACAAACACUUUCGUGGUAAGAAGAGUUUUUGAACUUAAAUUUGUAUCAAAUUGAAUUGAGUGCAAGAACAUAUGUUACAUUAACCAACAAAUAUAUUCAUGCGCCAGUGAUAUUCAAUGGCAUACAUAUACAAUUAACGUAAAAUAGAGGUAGCAAGUGU
rnacentral:lncRNA from 1 species